AUGAACAAAUGAGUUAGUUAUAUGAAAAGGAAAGAACACGGAUUGCAAAACAUUAUCCACGCAACACUCAUGUAUACUGGUGGAGGUGUCCUAUAAAUACAGGUAUACUUCCGAUAAAAAUAAGAAACAAAUAAAGGGAUGCCCCUAAAUAGAGUAAGAAACUUCUGGUGGAGGCUUACAAAGAAUAUUCUUCCAAUUAGAGGAAACUUGUCAAAGAAAGGAAUUCAAAACUGCUUUGUAUCCUUCCAUGGAAAAUUUUGGGACAUAGAGGCCAAUAUGUCUUUAUGAACAAAGCUGUCAACUCCAUUGAAAUUAACAACGCAGAAAGCAAUGUCCGUUGUCCAAGAGCUAGGUAUCUGUACCAAAGCCCUAAAAUCUAAACCCCCCCAUAAUCCCCUUGAUAAUGGCUUGAAUACAAAUUCCAUAGAAAACAACAUUUUUGUUGAUGUUGGAUGUUUUGCAGGUGGUGCAGCAGGUUGGGGGCUGAUUUUCUAUGACAGUGUCGCAACAGUUAGUAGAACCUUAGGUGGCUGAAGCAAUGGGGUUAGAUGGAGCCUGCAACUACCUAUGAAUCACAAUAUGCACAGG
rnacentral:lncRNA from 1 species